rnacentral:tRNA from 1 species
UGUCUCCGUAGCUCAAUUGGAUAGAGCAACUGCCUUCUAAGCAGUAGGUUGCGUGUUCAACUCACGCCGGAGACAU